rnacentral:rRNA from 1 species
CAAUAGCGUAUAUUAAAGUUGUUGCGGUUAAAAAGCUCGUAGUUGGAGUUCUGCCAGGUGACGCUCGUCCGCCCAAGUGGUGUGUACAGGGCGUGCAUCUGGCCCUUUCAAGGGGAACGUGUCUGCACUUUACUGUGUGGUGCGAGAUCCUUGACUUUUACUUUGAGGAAAUCAGAGUGUUCCAAGCAGGCUCUCGUCGUGUAUAGCUCAGCAUGGAAUAAUAGCAUUGGACUUCGUUUCUAAGCUGUUGGUUGCAAGAAGCGAGGUAAUGAUGAAGAGGGAUAGUUGGGGGCAUUCGUAUUUAACUGUCAGAGGUGAAAUUCUUGGAUUUGUUAAAGGCGGACUACUGCGAAAGCAUCUGCCAUGGAUGUUUUCAUUGA